AAGAAAGAAAGAGAGAAGAGAGGAGAAUUUUUAAGGGUUUUCCAAAUCUACGAAUAUCUAAGCCCCCAAUCCCAAAUCUAACUUCGGAAACGUGAUCUACGUGUGUGGAUCUACGUUUUGACCGAUUAUUUUGAGGUAUUUAACUACUAGGAAGUUGCUCGAGGAUACCCAAACCUCAGAUUUUGGUUUGGUGAACUUUGGUGGCGCUUUGAGAGUUGAACUUCGAGCUGUUGGAAUUGGUGUGCAAACGGCCUAAGGAUAGUCGGUUUUCAAAUUGGAAUCUUCAUAUAUUCAGACAUCUACUGUUCACAAGCGUC